rnacentral:tRNA from 1 species
AGUUAAUUAGCUUAAAUAAAGCACAUAUAAUGAAAAUAUGAGAUAGAUUAAUUUUUAUUAACUU